GAAUCUGCCUUGAGGAUGGGGACAACAGUUGGAAACGACUGCUAAACCCCGAUGUGCCCGAAGGUGAAAAAUUUAUUGCCUCAAGAGGAGCUCGCGUCUGAUUAGCUAGUUGGUGGGGUAAAAGCCUACCAAGGCAACGAUCAGUAGCUGGUCUGAGAGGAUGAGCAGCCACACUGGGACUGAGACACGGCCCAGACUCCUACGGGAGGCAGCAGUGGGGAAUUUUCCGCAAUGGGCGAAAGCCUGACGGAGCAAGACCGCGUGAGGGAGGAAGGCUCUUGGGUUGUAAACCUCUUUUCUCAAGGAAGAAGCUCUGACGGUACUUGAGGAAUCAGCAUCGGCUAACUCCGUGCCAGCAGCCGCGGUAAUACGGAGGAUGCAAGCGUUAUCCGGAAUCAUUGGGCGUAAAGCGUCCGCAGGUGGCUUUUCAAGUCUGCUGUCAAAGACUGGAGCUUAACUCCGGAAAGGCAGUGGAAACUGAGAAGCUAGAGGCCGGUAGGGGUAGAGGGAAUUCCCAGUGUAGCGGUGAAAUGCGUAGAGAUUGGGAAGAACACCAGUGGCGAAAGCGCUCUACUGGACCGGAACUGACACUCAGGGACGAAAGCUAGGGGAGC
rnacentral:rRNA from 1 species